GGGAACAGUAUACCUGGGUAAACCUUCCCCAAGAGUUCCUGAGCCAAGUGCUGCUCAGGACUGCUGUCCUUGUCCAUGGCAGAGGGCUUAGUCUGGGUCACCCCAAGGGCUGGAGACAUCCCCUAGAGGUGACUUGAAGAAGAAAGUCCUUUACAAAAUCUGUUGUACUGCCAGUGGUAAUGGAAGAAGUGUCAGGAUGCCGGGUGAAGUGAUUCCUCUAGCACAGUGCCUGACACAGUAUAUGGAAAAUCACUUCUGGUUGAGCAAAUGAACAAACGAAAGAAUGAACAGACCAACUGAUUUGCAGGUUGCUCUGAACCAAAGAAAAGAAACAAGUAUGAAGUCGUAUUGUUCAUUCAAACAUAUAUAAGGACAACAAGAAGGAGUGGACAAAAUUUGGAUUGUGUACUUUACUCUUAUUUGCAUCUUGAAUAUUAUAUAAAUUGUUUUUUCUAGUCU
rnacentral:lncRNA from 1 species